UCUUCCUCACCAUUGGUUUUUUUUUUUUUCCUGGUUCUUUUGUCAAAUUGGAACUAAGUUGCCGCCAUGGGUCCAGGAGGAGGUUCCCCCCUUGAGCUGAGAAAUUACCAGCAAGGGAAGAGACCACCACAGCAAAGCCUCGCCAGUGCUUGGUUAGGCUGACCCACAGGAUGGGACUUCUGGAGCUUCGUGACAACAUGAGAGCCUUAAAAGAGGAGAGGCAGUGUCACAGCAACCUGUGAAUGUAAAUUUUCAGGCAGAUGGAACAAGGAGACAGCAAGGGGGGCACUGGUAGGUGUCCCUGUUCUCAAAAGCAUCCCUGUGGGAGGGAGGCCAGGAGGAGGAGUGCUGCCCCUACAGGCGUUGCAGGCACAGCUACAGUGCUGUGUUUGUGUCAGUAGGUGGCACAGAGAAGCAGGCUAGGUCUACGCUCAGUGCUCUGGUGGGUGGGCACUCAGAAUGAUUACUAGCCUGACAAAGCUACAUGCUUUCUUUCAGUCUCUUUUUGGAGGGGUGUAGGAGCCGAUCUCAGAUUAUGUGAUUAAGUCUGGAUUGUAUGGUGAGAAAGGAGGCAAUCAUCUUGUCAACUGUGUUUCCAAGGAUACCAAGUUCACCAUUUUAUCAGAUGGUCAGGAACAUUGCCAUUUAUGGUAUCUUAUGGCUCUUGUAACUUUAGAAAAGGCAAGUCAGUCUUAAAGAAUAUUCAUCAAGUUUCUGUUGAUCUAUAUUAGGAACUUUCAAAAUUCAUAUUUUUGUUUUUACUGAAUAAUUGGAACGAUCUUUAGAACCCAAAUGAGCUAAACCAUUUCAUAUUUGCAGGAACAUGUUGCUGGCCCUUCAACAUGUGCU